GCCACCGUAGCUCAGUUGGUAGAGCGGCUGAUUUGUAAUCUGCAGGUCUCCGGUUCGAAUCCGGACGGUGGCU
rnacentral:tRNA from 1 species